GACAUCAGAUCACGUCCAACUUCAGAGAGGUCUGACUGUUCCCAAAAGGGUGUGGUAGCAGGAUGUCCAGGCGGUUGCCAUGACUACACUUAACCUUGGCUCUGGGGGUCUUCACUGAUCAGAACACUGACUGCUUUGGAUUACGGUGAAGGGUGUUCGGACCCCCUCGUUCCUCCGGAAAAACAAUGAGGGGAGGCCAGUGUCCAAAAGCCCCAGCACCCCGCAUCCAGCAG